rnacentral:rRNA from 1 species
UUUUAUUUGAGAGUUUGAUCCUGGCUCAGGAUGAACGCUGGCGGCGUGCCUAACACAUGCAAGUUGAGCGAUUUACUUCGGUAAAGAGCGGCGGACGGGUGAGUAACGCGUGGGUAACCUACCCUGUACACACGGAUAACAUACCGAAAGGUAUGCUAAUACGGGAUAAUAUAUUUGAGAGGCAUCUCUUAAAUAUCAAAGGUGAGCCAGUACAGGAUGGACCCGCGUCUGAUUAGCUAGUUGGUAAGGUAACGGCUUACCAAGGCGACGAUCAGUAGCCGACCUGAGAGGGUGAUCGGCCACAUUGGAACUGAGACACGGUCCAAACUCCUACGGGAGGCAGCAGUGGGGAAUAUUGCACAAUGGGCGAAAGCCUGAUGCAGCAACGCGGCGUGAGUG